rnacentral:rRNA from 1 species
UCCGUAGGGCGCAAGCGUUAUCCGGAAUUAUUGGGCGUAAAGAGCUCGUAGGCGGUUUGUCGCGUCUGCCGUGAAAGUCCGGGGCUCAACUCCGGAUCUGCGGUGGGUACGGGCAGACUAGAGUGAUGUAGGGGAGACUGGAAUUCCUGGUAUAGCGGUGAAAUGCGCAGAUAUCAGGAGGAACACCGGUGGCGAAGGCGGGUCUCUGGGACGGUACUGACGCUGAGACGCGAAAGCGUGGGGAGCGAACAGG